rnacentral:rRNA from 1 species
UACGGGGGGUGCGAGCGUUGUCCGGAAUCACUGGGCGUAAAGGGCGCGUAGGUGGCCUGGUAAGUCUGUGGUGAAAGCCCGGAGCUCAACUCCGGGUCUGCCGCGGAUACUGCGAGGCUUGAGUGCUGUAGAGGGGGGUAGAAUGCCGGGUGUAGCGGUGGAAUGCGUAGGGAUCCGGCAGAAGACCGGUGGCGAAGGCGGCCCCCUGGGCAGUAACUGACACUGAGGCGCGACAGCGUGGGGAGCAAACAGG